CUGUUGGAGCUUGGACUCAGAGAGGAAUGGUAGAGGGUAAACCUUAGGAGGAACCGGUCACAGGAAAGAGCUCCUUCUGGAACUGUCAAGCACUCGCUGAAACGCAGUGUACAACACGGGACUUCACGACCAGAGCUCCUUUUGGCAAGAGGUGUUGUAGCUGGCUUAAGAGAGCAGAUGGAAGCCUCUGCCUCGAGGGCAGGUGCCUCGCACAGACUCAGAGGGGCCAAGCUGCACUCCUGAAGAGCAGCACGAGAAGGGCAGGCUGGUCGUGAGUGG